rnacentral:rRNA from 1 species
AGAAUGAACGCUGGCGGCGUGCUUUACACAUGCAAGUCGAGCGAGGCGUGUAGCAAUACACAGUCGAGCGGCGAACGGGUGAGUAACGCGUGGAUUAUCUGCCCUGAGGUGGGGGGAUAACCCGGGGGAAACUCGGGCUAAUACCGCAUAUGACCGGAAGGUCGAAAGGGGGGUCGCAAGAUCUCUCGCCUUUGGAGGAGUCCGCGUUCGAUUAGCUAGUUGGUAGGGUAAUGGCCUACCAAGGCGACGAUCGAUAGCCGGCCUGAGAGGGUGAGUCGGCCGACACUAGGAACUGAGACUACGGCCAGACUCGUACGGGAGGCGAGCAGGUAGGGUAAUUUGCGACGAAGUGGGACUAACGGCCUAGAC